rnacentral:rRNA from 1 species
GACGAACGCUGGCGGCGUGCUUAACACAUGCAAGUCGAACGGAAAGGCCCUGCUUUUGUGGGGUGCUCGAGUGGCGAACGGGUGAGUAACAAGUGAGUAACCUGCCCUUGACUUUGGGAUAACUUCAGGAAACUGGGGCUAAUACCGGAUAGGAGCUCCUGCUGGAUGGUGGGGGUUGGAAAGUUUCGGCGGUUGGGGAUGGACUCGCGGCUUAUCAGCUUGUUGGUGGGGUAGUGGCUUACCAAGGCUUUGACGGGUAGCCGGCCUGAGAGGGUGACCGGCCACAUUGGGACUGAGAUACGGCCCAGACUCCUACGGGAGGCAGCAGUGGGGAAUAUUGCACAAUGGGCGGAAGCCUGAUGCAGCAACGCCGCGUGCGGGAUGACGGCCUUCGGGUUGUAAACCGCUUUCGCCUGUGACGAAGCGUGAGUGACGGUAAUGGGUAAAGAAGCACCGGCUAACUACGUG